UUUGACCCGAGGCCGCUCCGCGCCGCGUACACGGACCGGAGCAUCCCGGGCGGCCGAGGGGCUGGGCGGUCGGCGGGGCGCCCCGGGGCCGAGCGGCAGGCUGGCCCCGGGCCAGGUGGGACCCUGCCAGCUCGGAUGCCUGAGGUGCUGUCCCACUGCCCUGCUCCUGGCUAACCAGCACCAGUUCUUCAGUGGCAAGCUUUAUGUCCUUCUCUAGUAGCUAAAGCUGCCAGUUGAAGAACUGUUGAAUGUAGCCACUCUCUUCUUGUCAUCGGGACCCUGGAUGCCAGCCAGACCUGUGCCCCGAGCCACCAGCACGAGCCAGUCUGCAGCAUCCCAUGGAUUUGAGGGCUGAGGAUGAACAUGGCCGGGAUGAAGAAGACUCCUGGCAGCCUCCAGACAGAGCCUUGGCUGGGGAUGGCCUGGCAGCCCUAGAGUGGGGCUGUCAAGCAGGGUGGCACCAAGCUGAGAUGACUGGAGACAACCAAAAGAAGCAUUAAACUUUCUGUUUUGCUCAACA